rnacentral:lncRNA from 13 species
CUAUUCUAUUCCAUUGGUUUAUGUGUCUCUUUUUAUGCCACUACCAGGCUAUUUUGGUUUCUGUUGCUUUGUAGUAUAGUUUGAAGUCAAGUAGUGUGAUGUUCCUGCUUUGCUUAUUUCACUGAAGAUUGCUACUUAUAGUCUUUCAUGGUUCCAUAUGAACUUGGGGAUAUUUUUUCAAUUUCUGUGAAAAAUGACAUCGGGAUAUUGAUAGGGUUUGUGUUGAAUUUGUAGAUCAUUUGGGGCACUGUGGACACUUUUACAAUAUUCCAAUCCAUUAAUGUGGGAUAACUUCCCAUUUAUCUGAGUCUUUUUCAGUUUUGUUCACUUACGUUUUAUAGUUUUCAGUAUAGAGGUCUUUCACUUUUUUGGUUGAUUAUUUUCUAAGUGUGUUAUUUAUUUUUUUAUAGCUAUUUUAGCUGGUAUUGAUUAUUUGAUUGUUUUUGGGGAGGUGGAGUUUGUUGUUAGUUUAUAGAAACAUCACUGAUUCGGGGAUGUUAAUGUUUAUCCUGCAAUUUUCCCAGAUUUGUGUAUUAGUUCUAAAAAUUUUUUAGUGGAAUCUUUAGUGUAUUUUAUAUGUAAUUAUGUCACCUGAAACAAGGACUAUUUAACUUUAUACUUUCCAAUUUAAUGCCUUUUAUUUCUUUUACUUUCCUGAUUUCUUUGACUAGGACUUCUAUUACUAUGUCAAAUAGAAUUGGCAGAGUAGGCAUCUCUGUCUUGUUCCUGGUCUUAGAGGAAACACUUUCAACUUUUCACCAGUUUCAUGUUACCUGUGAGUUUCUUGAAGCUGACCUUUGUUAUGUUGAGAUGAUCAGCAGGAGAAGUACAUAUUCCUCGAGCUGGAUCUAUCUACACGUGCACCUGUCCCAGGAAGCUGAAGUGGGAGAUCUGAUGAGCAGUGGAGGACUGAACUAAAGCCUUUGACUUUUGCUCUAUACCAAUCAGAUAAAAACUGCAGUGAGAAACAAGCAUCCUCUCUAUCCAAUUGAAAGGAGGAUUGAGGAAUUCCUGUGUGGCUUGAAGGUAAUACAAAGCAAAAUUAAAGGAAAUUAAGUAAAGAGAUAAAGCCAUAAUCCCUACUGUAAAAUAUAAUGACAUCAUCAAAGUUCUUG